rnacentral:rRNA from 1 species
GUCUGUAUGGGGAUUUAUAAGUCUGGCCUGCCCACUGGGAUAAAACUAAAGGGCCGCGGUAUUCUAACCGUGCGAAGGUAGCAUAGUCAUUAGUCUUUUAAUUGGGGGCUUGUAUGAAGGGUUGAACAAGAGGCAAACUGUCUCAAAAAUAAGGUUUGAAAUUAACUUUUAAGUGAAAAGGCUUAAAUAUCUUAGAGGGACGAUAAGACCCUAUAAAGCUUGAUAAUUUUGUAUAUAAAUAAGUAAGUUGUUAGUAUUAUACUGUCUACAUAUAAAAUUAUUUCGUUGGGGCGACGAUAAUAUAAUCUGUAACUGUUUAGGUUUUAACUCAAAUAUAUUUGUGUUUAAUGAUCCAUUAAUUGUUGAUUAAAAAUUUAAGUUACUUUAGGGAUAACAGCGUUAUUUAUUUUGAGAGUUCAUAUCGAUAAAGAAGUUUGCGACCUCGAUGUUGAAUUAAAAUUUUUCCGUGGUGCAGUAGUUACGGAUA